rnacentral:rRNA from 1 species
AUUGAACGCUUGCGGCAGUCUUAACACAUGCAAGUCGAGCGAGCGGCGGACGGGUGAGUAAUGUAUGGGAAACUGCCUGAUGGAGGGGGAUAACUACUGGAAACGGUAGAUAAUAACGCCUACCCUCAGAUGUGCCCAGAUGGGAUUCGCUAGGAGGUGGGGUAAUGGCUCACCUAGGCGACGAUCCCUAGAUGGUCUGUGAGGAUGGCCAGGCACCCUGGAACUGAAACACGGUCCGGACUCCACUGGGAGGCAGCGGUGGGGAAUAUUGCACAAUGGGAGCAAGCCUGAUGCAGCCAUGCCGCGUGUGUGAAGAGGGCCUUGCGUUUGUGAAGCAAUUUCAGCGAGGAGGCGUUACUCGCAGAAGAAGCACCGGCUAACUCCGUGCCAGCAGCCGCGGUAAUAC